rnacentral:misc_RNA from 1 species
GAUGAAGAACGCAGCGAACUGCGAUAAGUAAUGUGAAUUGCAGAAUUCAGUGAAUCAUCGAGUCUUUGAACGCACAUUGCGCCCCCUGGCAUUCCGGGGGGCAUGCCUGUCCGAGCGUCAUUGCUGCCCUUCAAGCCCGGCUUGUGUGUUGGGUCGUCGUCCCCCCCGGGGGACGGGCCCGAAAGGCAGCGGCGGCACCGUGUCCGGUCCUCGAGCGUAUGGGGCUUUGUCACCCGCUCGAUUAGGGCCGGCCGGGCGCCAGCCGGCGUCUCCAACCUUCUAUUUUACCAGGUUGACCUCGGAUCAGGUAGGGAUACCCGCUGAACUUAAGCAUAUCAAUAAGCGGAGGA